UAUUAUACCCUGUUGCUUCGGCGGGCCCGCCGCUUGUCGGCCGCCGGGGGGGCGCCUUUGCCCCCCGGGCCCGUGCCCGCCGGAGACCCCAACACGAACACUGUCUGAAAGCGUGCAGUCUGAGUUGAUUGAAUGCAAUCAGUUAAAACUUUCAACAAUGGAUCUCUUGGUUCCGGCAUCGAUGAAGAACGCAGCGAAAUGCGAUAACUAAUGUGAAUUGCAGAAUUCAGUGAAUCAUCGAGUCUUUGAACGCACAUUGCGCCCCCUGGUAUUCCGGGGGGCAUGCCUGUCCGAGCGUCAUUGCUGCCCUCAAGCCCGGCUUGUGUGUUGGGUCGCCGUCCCCCUCUCCGGGGGGACGGGCCCGAAAGGCAGCGGCGGCACCGCGUCCGAUCCUCGAGCGUAUGGGGCUUUGUCACAUGCUCUGUAGGAUUGGCCGGCGCCUGCCGAC
rnacentral:rRNA from 1 species